rnacentral:rRNA from 1 species
UCAAACCGGCGUAAGCCAGGUUGGUUUCUAUCCUUAAAUAAAAAAAAUAUUNUAGUNCGAAAGGAUUAAAUAUUUAAAAUAAUUUUUACAAAAAUGAAUAAAAUUAAU